UACAGAGGUCCCGAGCGUUGUUCGGAUUCACUGGGCGUAAAGGGUGCGCAGGUGGCUUGGCAAGUUUGAUGUGAAAGCUCAGGGCUUAACCCUGAAAUGGCAUUGAAUACUGUUGAGCUGGAGGUUUGGAGGGGGGACUGGAAUUCUUGGUGUAGCAGUGAAAUGCGUAGAUAUCAAGAGGAACACCAGUGGCGAAGGCGAGUCCCUGGACAACACCUGACACUGAGGCACGAAAGCGUGGGGAGCAAACAGG
rnacentral:rRNA from 1 species